rnacentral:lncRNA from 1 species
CCCACAUCUUCCAGACUCUGUCCCUUGGAUCUAAAUCUGAUCCUUCACUGGGAAAGGAUGUGGACUCUGAAAUCCUACAACUGUGAGCACUGCGGGAGUGACUUUAUCAGCGGCAGGGCUCUGAAGUAUCACUUUCAACAGAAGCAUCUUGGAAAAGUUCACCGUGAAAAAUGUGACCAAGAAGUCCUGAAGGGGAAGCAGCGAGGUCACAGUGAGUCUACACGUGACAGGUCAACCAUGGAGACACACAAGCUACACUGGGAAAAUCUAGAAGAAAGGAAUGGAAAAUAUAUGGAUACAAACAUAUCAAAAACAUGUAGGAUGUGUUCUAGACGCUUUGGGACAGUCCUUAGUCGGGAGAACCAUGAAAUACAAGACCAUCACUUUACAGCCCGCAAAAGAGGUAAUGGAGAUGCCCGGUGCCUUCCCUGUAUGGAUGUUCACGCCGCAUAGAAGCUGUCUUGUGGCUUCCCUACGUC